rnacentral:tRNA from 1 species
CGAGCAUUAGCGCAGCCUGGUAGCGCAUCUGGUUUGGGACCAGAGGGUCGUAGGUUCGAAUCCUGCAUGCUCGACCA